AGCGGGUAGAAACUAUAGUAGUAAUUAAUAAUAAUAAAAUAUUAAAUAUUCUUUUUGUGUAUCUCAUUUAUUACAUCUACCAAAAGUCUCUCACUGUAGGUAGCAAAUAUGAACCCAACGAUAGAGAGAGAGAGAGAGUAAAAUGGCUCAUUCUAAAUAAAAAUUGAAUGGGAGAGAUGAAGAGACGUAUGUUGAGAGAGAGAGAGUAAAAUGGCUCAUUUUAAAUAAAAAUUAAAUGGGGGAGAUGAAGAGACGUAUGUUGAGAGAGAGAAUAAAAUGGAUCAUUCUAAAUUAAAAAAAUUUUAAAAUUAGGAGGUUAUGACACAUCAGUUUAAAACAUUGGGGAUUCAUAAAGUGUAAUAGAUAGAUAUCAAAAAAAGUCUUGCUAUUUUAUUUGCAUACAAUGUGAAAAACAGUAUGACAAAAUAUUAUUAUUUUUAAGCUACCUGGUUUAUUUAUUUUUUAAAGAUAAAUUUAGUUGCAAAUGUAAAAAAAUUAUGCUUCGAUUUUGGAAUGUCAAAUAUCAACUAUCAAAUAUUUUAUCAUUUGCGAUAAAAACAGUCAAUAUGCACAGUAUUUG
rnacentral:lncRNA from 1 species